UACGUAGGGUCCAAGCGUUAUCCGGAAUUACUGGGCGUAAAGCGUGCGCAGGCGGUUCGCUGUGUCCGAUGUGAAAGCCCCGGGCUUAACCUGGGAAUGGCAUUGGAGACUGGCGGGCUUGAGUGCGGCAGAGGGGGGUGGAAUUCCGCGUGUAGCAGUGAAAUGCGUAGAGAUCAUGAGGAAGACCAGUGGCGAAGGCGGGUCUCUGGACAGUUCCUGACACUGAGGCACGAAGGCCAGGGGAGCAAACGGG
rnacentral:rRNA from 1 species